ACGGGGUGCAGCAGGCGCGAAACCUUUACACUGCACGACAGUGCGAUAGGGGGACUCCGAGUGCGAGGGCAUAUAGCCCUCGCUUUUCUGUACCGUAAGGUGGUUCAGGAACAAGGACUGGGCAAGACCGGUGCCAGCCGCCGCGGUAAUACCGGCAGUCCAAGUGAUGGCCGAUAUUAUUGGGCCUAAAGCGUCCGUAGCCGGCCGGACAAGUCCGUUGGGAAAUCGACGCGCUCAACGCGUCGGCGUCCAGCGGAAACUGUCCGGCUUGGGGCCGGAAGACCUGAGGGGUACGUCCGGGGUAGGAGUGAAAUCCUGUAAUCCUGGACGGACCACCAAUGGGGAAACCACCUCAGGAAGACGGACCCGACGGUGAGGGACGAAAGCUAGGGUCUCGAACCGGAUUAGAUACCCGUGUAGUCC
rnacentral:rRNA from 1 species